rnacentral:lncRNA from 1 species
AUGAGUUCAGCAAUCUCUCGGGAUCUCCAGCUCCAUGUCUUCAAUCCUGUCUCUGAGACCUGUGUGACUUCUCCCUGUGUGAAGAGGAGCCCCAUCUGCCCUUCUGAUGUGCUCCAAGCCUCAAAUGAUGGUUUUCAGAGACCACACCAUGGAAAGAACCACCAGAUUAACUGUUUUUUGUUUUUUUGUUUUUUCCAAGACAACAUCUUCCAGUCUAGAACAGGUUGGUGCAAAGUCACAAUCCUCCAGUGUCACCCUCAGAGCACUAGGGUCUCAGCAGUGUGCCGUACACCCAGAUUGAUGUCUUCUUUAAACCUUGCAGCCUCUGCCCACCGUGGCCUAAAGCUCAUUAAACCAGCAUCCUCAAUGAGCUUCAACUCCAGCAGGAGACCUGAAUCCUCUUCCUGCUGGAGCCUGGCCCUGGGUCACAUCCCGAAUUCCCUUUCCCACUGCCCCUGCUGUGUGCCUUCUGUGAACCCAUAGCCAGUCCCCCUGCAGCCUUGUUGCUCUUCCAUCCCCCUCCCGAGCUGUGUUCCCUGCUCCCCUCAGUAGACCUCCUCUCAGCUCCCAGGGAAUCACUGACUUCUCUUGCAGUCAGCUUUCCCCACUUCCCAGGUUUCCCGGGCCAGCUCCCUGAAGAAGUCUCCCUGUCCCGUUGGCUGCUUUCGCCUGGCUUCCCCUCCUUCCAACUGCCAGCAAUGGCCCCGCAGACCCGUUGUCACACAAGUGCCCUAAAUUCCACAUGCCACCACUGAACCACCCUUCCAAAGUCAGUCCUCCUCUAGACGCCCUGCUCAUGCUUGUGACAGGAUCACUGCCGUCCCCAUGAGACCAACUCCAAGUCUGCCCUGUCACAGACCCGUCAACCUCUAGUCCUCAUUCCCUGGAUCUCUGAAACCCCACAUUCCCACACACAGCCAUCAUCCUCUCAUCAUCAUCCUUAGCAGCCCCCAAACCUUACCUAAACGCCCCGUCUCAACCAGCCUUGCAACUCCUUCAUUUUAACUUGUGGAGUCUGUUCUGGUCACAUUAUUGUUCUGCACAAAUAACUUGAAGAGCCCUCCCUUUCCUCAAAAGCACUGCUGGUCUUCGUGCCCACACCUGACAAUGGAGACCACGGCUCUGGGGGGUCAUGUGGACACAUCUCUGCAUCCUUUUCUGAUACCACCCACAAAUCCCAGCCAGGAGGACUGCUCCAUGGCAGGAGCACAGCACACCUGGCCAAUGCUGACCCCUCCCCCAGGAGACUCCCCUGGGGUCCCUCUUUCCAACCUCCAUACAGUCACCUCAGGUGUACCCUCUCUCCCUCUGAACCCCACGGUGCUCUGUAUUCACCUCCUGAAGAAUAUAAGGCAUGCUGCCUGAUGUGAACAGGUGCUCACUUUCUGUGUGAUCUCCCAUUGUGUCCCCAGGAACAACAUGCAAAGAGUCGUGAUUUAUACAAGGGAACAGAAAAGGAUGAAGGCACAGGAGCCUGCCUCCCAGGUCAGCACUUGCUGAGAUCUGAGUUCAGUUGUCUGUGAUCUCUCCAAAAGCAGAAAUAAACCACCUGAUUGUGGCUAUAGCUGUGACA